rnacentral:rRNA from 1 species
UACGGAGGGUGCGAGCGUUGUCCGGAAUCACUGGGCGUAAAGGGCGCGUAGGCGGCUCGGUAAGUAGGGGGUGAAAUCCUGCGGCUUAACCGCAGGGCUGCCUUCUAAACUGUCGAGCUCGAGCACGGUAGAGGCAGAUGGAAUUCCCGGUGUAGCGGUGGAAUGCGCAGAUAUCAGGAGGAACACCGGUGGCGAAGGCGGGUCUCUGGGCCGAUACUGACGCUGAGGAGCGAAAGCGUGGGGAGCGAACAGG